UACGGGGGGGGGUAAGCGUUGUUCGGAAUUACUGGGCGUAAAGGGCGCGUAGGCGGCGUGACAAGUCACUUGUGAAAUCUCUGAGCUUAACUCAGAACGGCCAAGUGAAACUGUUGUGCUAGAGUGCAGAAGGGGCAAUCGGAAUUCUUGGUGUAGCGGUGAAAUGCGUAGAUAUCAAGAGGAACACCUGAGGUGAAGACGGGUUGCUGGGCUGACACUGACGCUGAGGCGCGAAAGCCAGGGGAGCAAACGGGG
rnacentral:rRNA from 1 species